rnacentral:rRNA from 1 species
AACGAACGCUGGCGGCAUGCCUAACACAUGCAAGUCGAACGAGACCUUCGGGUCUAGUGGCGCACGGGUGCGUAACGCGUGGGAACCUGCCCUUAGGUUCGGAAUAACUCCCCGAAAGGGGUGCUAAUACCGGAUAAUGUCUUCGGACCAAAGAUUUAUCGCCUUUGGAUGGGCCCGCGUUGGAUUAGCUAGUUGGUAGGGUAAAAGCCUACCAAGGCGACGAUCCAUAGCUGGUCUGAGAGGAUGAUCAGCCACACUGGGACUGAGACACGGCCCAGACCCCUGCGGAGGCCAGCAGGGGGGAUUUUGGAACAAGGGGCAAAAGCCUAACCCAGCAUUGCCGCGUGAUUGAGAAGGGCUUGGGGUUUGAAAACCUUUUUUCCCCGGGAUGAAAAUCACAGCCCGGGGAGAAAAAGCCCCGGUUACCCCCGU